rnacentral:lncRNA from 1 species
CUUAGCUUGUGACCUCUACGGAAAUACUGAAGACGUCCUCUGUGUCCUUUUAGACUUUCUGGGGGAGGGGACAGCUGCUGCCCAGAAGCAAGCAGCUUCCUUUUGGCCAGGUCAGUGCAGGGAACCAACAAAGACAGGGACCUGUGGCCAGAAGAAGCACAGCCACAGCAGGUAUCUGAUUGGACUGAGCCAGGAAAGGCCUUCUUGCCCUUAGGGACCCCUCAAAGCUUCUUUCCCACAAGCUGGAAACUGCUUGGCUCACUGCUGUCCUAAAUGCAGGUGCCAGCCGAGGGGGUUACCCUAGGACCGUGAGCCAUUAACAGCUUGUCUCAAAUACGCUUCUCCAAGGCAGUCAGCGACUCCCCACUGAACACCUGUGGGUUCCUGCUGGUGCUAACUUAGGCACAGGGCUAGCAGGUCCCUCCCCUGUAGCAGAUGAUGAGAGCAAGUGUGGUGCAGGAGGAACUGGAAAGAGAGCAUCGUCAGAGGCGACACUUGCGUGGAUUAAAACCAUAUAUUCUUGUGCAAUGUAAAAUUGCCAACUUGCAUCAGCAUAACGAAGGACACACUUAGAAUAGAAAAGCUGAGGAGGACAGAAGAAUAGGAAGAACAACAAAAUCAUGCCUGGUCCUUUUGCCCAGAAAUGACCCAUGUGAAUCUUGGCUGAACUUUUAGACUUUUUCGCGGUGCACAUUUCUGAACAUAAUUUGACAACGUGGGACCUCUAGAAUUGUACAUUCUAAUUUUUCAGUCCAUUUAUUUCUUAUUCCAGAAAGAAUCCAUAUAUAAGGAUGGCUCAUCACAGUGUUGUUUUUAAUUGUGAAAAGCUGAAAAAUGGAUGCUCGCCACUAGUGUUUAUAAAUAAAUUCAAUAAAGUUAUGCUCUCACAAUAAAAUAUUAUGUAAUCAUUUAAAAGAAUAAUCUCAUGCUCUGCGUAUUAUCAUGGAAGGAUGUCCACAAGGUCUUGCUGAAAUUUUUUUAAAAGUCCCAAAACAGUGUAUAUAUAAUUUGAGACUAUUGAUAUAAAAAUAUGGGUGUAUAUGUGUGUAAAAAAAGAUGUUUGGGCCGGGCACGGUGGCUCACGCCUGUAAUCCCAACCUUUUUGGGGCUGAGGUGGGCGGAUCACUUGAGGUCAGGAGUUUGAGACCAGCCUGGCCAACAUGGUGAAACUCCGUCUCUACUAAAAUAAAAAUAAAAAAAAUUAGCUGGAUGUGGUGGUGCAUGCCUGUAAUCCCAGCUACUCCAGAGGCUGAGGCAGGAAAAUCGCUUGAGCCAGGGAGGCGGAGGUUGCAGUGAG